ACUGAGGCUGAGGAAUGAAGGGACUUGCCUGGGGGUCUCACAAUGCGUAUAUGAGGAAGGAUUUGAACCCAGGUCUUCAAGACUCCAAGCCUUUCCUUCAAUCUGCUAUAUAAGGCAGUGGGAUUCCCAGCUUCCUUCAAACACAACUCUGCUGCAAUUAGACUCCACUGAAUCUCGCCACCUUUAGCCAUCACCAGGUAGGUGAGGAAAGACAACAGACGUGGAAAGUCAGUGUGGCGCUAUGGACGGAGAGCUGCACUCAACCCCAGAAAGACCUGGGUUCAAAUACAGUCUCUGACACAUGCUGGAUCCCCAACUCCAGGCUAUCUCACCUUUCCGCUUUCAAGGCCUCCAUCUAAGACAAAAGUCACCAACCUCCAUUCGUAAAGGAAGAUUCCUUAUCUGAGAAUCCCAUAUAUCGGCAACAUUAUAGCUCAUGUCACUGUCCCCAUCUCUUGGUUAAUUUUGGUCAGACAUUUGACAAAGUCUCUUCUGCUGUGAUUAUGGACAAGGUGGAGUGAUUGGGUAUGGCUUCUUCUGGUGGGUCUGUAACUCAGAG